rnacentral:lncRNA from 1 species
GGAAGGAGGAGCUCCGCUGCUGCAGGGGGCGGACGGCGGUGCGCCGGCCGGCUGCGUCCUCCGCCGCGGGGGGUGUGCAAGUCCGAAGAGGGGUGGUGCGUCCAGUCCUGUCCUGUCCUGCAAAAAAGCCGGUGGCCGGGCUCCCCGGCGCCGGCCUUCCGAUGCCUAAGUCAGAGGGGGCAAGUAUGUGGAGAGAGCAGGGAAGAGAGUAUGUGGAGAAGACAGAGAGAGCUUCGG